rnacentral:rRNA from 1 species
GCGUGAGUGAAGAAGGCCUUAGGGUUGUAAAGCUCUUUCACCCGUGAAGAUGAUGACGGUAGCGGGAGAAGAAGCCCCGGCUAACUCCGUGCCAGCAGCCGCGGUAAUACGGAGGGGGCUAGCGUUGUUCGGAAUUACUGGGCGUAAAGCGCGCGUAGGCGGCUGAUCUAGUCAGGGGUGAAAGGCCUGGGCUUAACCUGGGAACUGCCUUUGAUACUGGUCGGCUUGAGUCCGUGAGAGGGUAGUGGAAUUCCCAGUGUAGAGGUGAAAUUCGU